rnacentral:rRNA from 1 species
UAAGGGUUCCUGGGUCAAGCUGAUCUGCCCAGGGUAAGUCGGGACCUAAGGCGAGGCCGACAGGCGUAGUCGAUGGACAACCGGUUGAUAUUCCGGUACCCGCUUUGAAACGCCCAAUAUCGAAUCAGGCGAUGCUAAGUCCGUGAAGCCGUUCCGGAUCCUUCGGGUGAAGGAAAGUGGUGGAGCCGACGACCCAGACUUGUAGUAGGUAAGCGAUGGGGUGACGCAGGAAGGUAGUCCAGCCCGGGCGGUGGUUGUCCCGGGGUAAGGGUGUAGGCCGUGUGGUAGGCAAAUCCGUCACACGUUGAGGCUGAGACCUGAUGCCGAGCCGAUUGUGGUGAAGUGGAUGAUCCUAUGCUGUCGAGAAAAGCCUCUAGCGAGUUUCAUGGCGGCCCGUACCCUAAACCGACUCAGGUGGUCAGGUAGAGAAUACCGAGGCGUUCGGGUGAACUAUGGUUAAGGAACUCGGCAAAAUGCCCCCGUAACUUCGGGAGAAGGGGGGCCAUUUCCGGUGAUGGGAUUUACUUCCUGAGCUGGGGGUGGCCGCAGAGACCAGCGAGAAGCGACUGUUUACUAAAAACACAGGUCCGUGCGAAGCCGUAAGGCGAUGUAUACGGACUGACGCCUGCCCGGUGCUGGAACGUUAAGGGGACCGGUUAGC